UGGAGUUGGAGGAGGAAUGAGAAGAGGCAUGGAGAUGGAGAGCGAGGACGUGGAGGAAGAGUUGGAGGAGAUGAACGGUGGGCUGGACACGCCCCGUGGAGCUGCUCCGGAGACGGAGGAAGGCGGCGGCGGGGAAGCGGAGCAGAGGAGCGUCUAUUACGACGAGGACCAAGAGGGUGGUUUUAACAUAUUUCACAUAUUUGAGAAAGGAAAGGAUACUCAUGUGCAAAGUUCAGAGCAAGUGCCCGAGAAGAAGAUAAAUUGGAUUUCUUCUAUUUUUAAAGUGGAUAGAAGCAAAACGAAAGAAAGCGAACCAGAAGCAAGUGCUACUGAAGCUUUGGCACAUUCAGAUGUUCGGAUUAAUGCGACAGAGCAAACUACCAGAGAUGCUGAAAUAAGCGAUGACAGGUUUAGUGGACCACCUGGUGUUAGCUUUGAAGAACAGAUGGAUGAUCAACCUGAACUACAUGAUUCUGUCACUCAGACCAUAUCCACUUCAGAAGCUAUGAUUCAGACCAAAGAGUUAAUUUAUGCUGGAGUUAAAGAUAAUGAUGGUAGAAUGAGAGAUGAUUCAGGAGUUGAUGCUACUAAAAUAACUUCUCAAAGUGACCAGAUAAUUCAAAGUUCAGAAGCAACUACUACUGAAGUUUUGGCACAUUCGGAUGUUCGAAUUAAUGUAUUAGAGCAAAUUGCCAGAGAUACUGAAAUAAGCAAUGACAGGCUUAGUGGACCUUCUAGCGUUAGUUUCAAAGGACACAUGGAGGAUCAGUCCGAACUACAUGAUCCUGCCACUCAGACCAUAACCACUUUAGGAGCUAUGUUUCAGAUCAAAGAGUCAAUUGAUGCUGGAGUUAAAGAAAAUGAUGUCAGACUCAGAAUGAUGGACGAAUCUGGAGUUGAUGCUUCUAAAAUAACUUUCCAAAAUGAACAGAUAAUUCAAGAUUCAGAAACAAAUGCUACUGAAGUGUUGACGCAUUCUGAUAUUGCGAUUAAUGUAGCAGAGCAAACUGCCAGAGUUAGUUACAAAGAACAGACGGAGGAUCAGCCAGAACUACAGGAUCCUUCCACUCAGACCAUAUCCACUUCGGAAGCUAUGAUACAGAUCAAAGAGUUAAUUGACGAUGGAGUUAAUGAUAAUGAUGUCAGAAUGAAAGAUGACUCAGGAGUUGAUGCUAAUAAAAUAACUUCUCAAAGUGACCAAAUAAUUCAAGGUUCAGAAACAAGUACUACGGAAGUGUUGGCACAUUCAGAUGUUCGGAUUAAUGUAGCAGAGCAAACUGCCAGAGAUACUGAAAUAAGCAAUGACUGGGAUAUACUAAAAAGCAUUGUAUAUGGAGGUCUGAAUGAAUCAAUUACUAGCCUGGCUGUUGUGUCAUCAGCAGCUGGUGCUGACGUUUCAACAUUGAAAAUUGUUGCAUUAGGGUUGGCAAAAUUGAUUGGCGGAUUUCUUUUAAUUACUCAUGAACUUUUUGAGCUUAGAACUGCACAAGAUGAAGCUACUGAACAGAAAGAUGAACAAGGUGGACGUUACUGGGAACUGCUUGGGUGGAGAGCAAAUUUCCGCCGGCACUUUCCUGUUGCUACAAUAUCAUACAUUUUAUUUGGCUUAGUCCCUCCUGUUGUUUAUGGUUUCUCAUUUAGGAGGAGCGACGAGAAGGAAUUCAAGCUCAUGGCUGUUGCUGCAUCAUCUCUUCUAUGCACAGCUUUGCUGGCCUUAUGUAAGGCCCAUGUUAAGCCACAAAAAGGCUACGUAAAAACCAUGGUCUACUACCUAGUUCUUGGUGUAUCAGCAUGUGGUCCUUCCUAUCUGGCUGGGAUGAUGAUCGACAAGUUACUUGAGAAGCUUGGAUUGUUUGAUCAUGGGACAACUCUUCAGUCACCUCCCACUCUUAUGUGUCAAGACUUAAGAGAACCAUCAUGGACAUCUUAUUGAUGAUGGAACCCUGCUACUGAUAGACGUGAAGGGGUGCAUCGAAGGACUUGGGACGAUGCCGAUCUGGUCGUUCAAAAUCGCUGUGCACUCGCUGCAGCUGUCCAAGUCGGUGAUUCUUUGACCGACGGAUGGAAUGGCGGGAAUUAAAAGGCAGCAGGCGAGCUUUCAAAAUGUGAGAGAGAGAGAGAGAGGUGUGGGUUUGGUUUCUUUGUUGGAGUCAGAGGAGGUUGGAGAAGAGACAUGGAGAUGGUGAGGGGGAGGUGUUGGAGGAGAGCGGUGGGCUGGUGGAAGCAAGGCGGCGCCCGAGGAGGAGCGACAGCGCAGUGGAAACUCCCGGUGGAGCAUCGCCGGAGACGGAGGAAGAAGGCAGCGGCGAGGAAGCGGAGCAGAGGAGCGUCUAUUACGACGCGGACCAAGGUUUGUGUGGUUUCUUCUUGGGGGCCGUCCCAUUCGUUUCUGUCGCCACCUUAAACCAAGAAACAAGAAACAUUGUGAAAUGACGAUGAUGCUCGUGUGCUUUUGUUGAUUUGUACGAGGAGCAUUUCCUACCCCCCGGCGCCAUUCGUGUCUUUGCUGGUGCCCUUUACGACGUCUGAGAACAGAAAGGAUCCGUUUGUUUUCCCAGAAAGAAUCUGGGAUCGUUUACGGGAACGGGAAUUAGAAGAUACAAGCGAUCGCGUGGUUUUCUGCUCUGUUGCCGAAGCUUUCCGUCUAUCAUCUUACUUCAUUUCUUGGAUCGGAUUUCUUGUUGUGAUGGGUAAAGAACACUGAAUCUUGGCGGUAGGUCUGUUUCUUGCUCUCUUAGAUCGACAUGGAAGAAUGGUUUGUGUAUCGUUUUUGCUUCAUCAUGUCAGCAAGAUGCCUAGGUUAUUAUCUCUUCUUGAACCCUCUGAUCUUGAUAUUGGCGGCAGGGUUUAUUGAGUUCCUUGGUCUUUUAGAUCUCCAUGGACGAACGAAUUGUAUAUGGGUUUCGCUUCCUCGCGUCAACCAGAUGCCUUUUUUGCUUCUCUCUUCUUGAACCCUUUGUUCUUGAUGCUGUGGCGUCGGAUUCAGGUUGACGCGUCAGAGUUUGGUCGGCCUUUCAUUUCGUUGUUAGGAAUUCAGUUCUUAGAUCGCGAAUCUCUUCGGAAUGGUUCUGUGCUUAGCGUCUGGGGGAAGGGCGAGUUGGUCCACUUGGAUCCCUCGUGAGCUUUACUUGUUUGUUUCCUCAUCUGAUGAGUUCCUACAAGAGGACGAAUGCAAUUCUUUCAUAAUGAGGACUAAUAGGAAGUUGCUUUUCUUAGAUUCACAGUGAUGCAAUAAUCUCCUAUCGACAGAUGAAAUUGGUGAAAUGAAGCCCAAAAAGGACGAUCAGAUUGCUACUUGUCAAGAAGCUGCAAAUGGAAGAUCAGAAUUUAAACCUCAAUUGACAAAACAUGGCAGUGAAAUUACUGAAAGUGAAGACAAAAGAGCAGUACAUGAACAGAGUAUGGUACCAAAAAAGAGUCUAUUGAAGGUGAUAGAGUUUGAUCUUGAGAGGAUAUUAGAGGAACAGGAUACACAUGAUUUGUGCUGUCCUAAUUGUAACUCAUGCAUCACAAAAAGAGUGAUUUUACAAAAAAGGAAAUGGUCAGUUAGAGAAAUUCAGCAUGAUGUGCCAUCAAAGAAAGUGCAUGAAGAACAAUAUGAUGCUGAGAGGUUGGAUACUGCAUCUGUUUCAGGUGAAAUGACAAAUCUUGCUGAUGCACCAGAACCAGAUGUAUUCAGAUGUUUAUCAUGUUUCAGCUUUUUCAUUCCAACAGAGGGUGGUUUUAACAUAUUCCGGAUAUUUGAGAAAGGAAAGGAAUCUCAUGUGAAAAGGAAAGAAAUUCAAUUGGAUUUCGUCUAUUUUUAAAGUGGAUAAAAGCAAAACGAAAGAAAGUGAACCAGCAGCUGGUGCUGACGCUUCAACAUGUACGUUUCAAGAUCAAUAUCCUUAUCUCAAUUCAAAAGUAAUCAGGUCAACUUUUUUUUUUGGGGGGGGGGGGAAGCAUGAUUGACAUCAAAUA